rnacentral:rRNA from 1 species
UACAGAGGUCUCAAGCGUUGUUCGGAUUCAUUGGGCGUAAAGGGUGCGUAGGCGGCGCGGUAAGUCGGGGUGUGAAAUCUCGGAGCUUAACUCCGAAACUGCAUUCGAUACUGCCGUGCUUGAGGACUGGAGAGGAGACUGGAAUUUACGGUGUAGCGGUGAAAUGCGUAGAUAUCUGGAGGAACACCGGUGGCGAAGGCGGCAUCCCUGGACCAAUUCUGACGCUGAGUGAGCGAAAGCCAGGGGAGCAAAACGGGG